AUUGAACGCUGGCGGCAUGCUUUACACAUGCAAGUCGAACGGUAACAGGCCUUCGGGUGCUGACGAGUGGCGAACGGGUGAGUAAUGCAUCGGAACGUGCCCAGAGGUGGGGGAUAACGCAGCGAAAGCUGUGCUAAUACCGCAUGUGAUCUGAGGAUGAAAGCGGGGGACCAAGCAGCAAUGCUUGGCCUCGCGCCUCUGGAGCGGCCGAUGUCAGAUUAGGUAGUUGGUGGGGUAAAGGCCUACCAAGCCGACGAUCUGUAGCUGGUCUGAGAGGACGACCAGCCACACUGGGACUGAGACACGGCCCAGACUCCUACGGGAGGCAGCAGUGGGGAAUUUUGGACAAUGGGCGCAAGCCUGAUCCAGCAAUGCCGCGUGCGGGAAGAAGGCCUUCGGGUUGUAAACCGCUUUUGUACGGAACGAAAAGGCUCUGGCUAAUACCUGGGGCUGAUGACGGUACCGUAAGAAUAAGCACCAGCUAACUACGUG
rnacentral:rRNA from 1 species